UACAGAGGGUGCGAGCGUUGUCCGGAAUCACUGGGCGUAAAGGGCGCGUAGGUGGCGACCCAAGUCGAUGGUGAAAGCUCGCCGCUCAACGGCGAGUCGGCCACCGAUACUGGGUUGCUUGAGCACUGUAGAGGCUAAUGGAAUUCCGGGUGUAGCGGUGGAAUGCGUAGAGAUCCGGAAGAACACCGGUGGCGAAGGCGGUUCUCUGGGCAUUACCUGACGCUGAGGAGCGAAAGUGUGGGGAGCGAACAGG
rnacentral:rRNA from 1 species